AGGGAUGUGGAGGCAUCUCGCUAUAAUUUCUAUCCCUUUUGAUUGCCAAGGUUGGUUAUGCUGAUCCCGCUGGCAAAUGGUGUCCCUUUCCUCCCUCAUUGUUCUGUUUCUUUCCUGGUGUUUUAUCUUCUUAGGGUAGGAAGAUGUCACUUCAUAGAGGACAGCCCUGUUCUUUGGUCAGUAUUAUAUGAGUAGCUAUGCUCCCCUGCUAGAACCACCAGACAAGUUCUCAGAAAUAUACGGAUGUUUUCAAUUUGACUACAUAUAUGA
rnacentral:snRNA from 1 species